AGCUGAUAAUUUCUGACAUGCUUAUUAUUAAAAAAAAAAAAUAUUUUUUGUUACAUGUGUCGUUACCAAGCAGAAUCUGUGCUUCUAACCACCACACCUUCAAAGAAAAAGAAAGGAGCUGCAAGAAAUGAAACAGAGACCACCGCUGAUGAAACAGAGACCAACGAAGAGGAAAACCUUCUGAUCCUACAUAGCCUGGCUGCAGCUGACUGGUGCAAUCAGGCAACAUUCAGUGGAAGACUGAAACUCCCUGAGAAGAAAGAAAAGAGGCCAUCCAGGAGAUGGACACCUGGGAUAGGGAACUGGAUCAGGAUUCUCCAGCAGAACUCUUUACAUUUGUUUUUGAAAAAAAAAAAAGACUUCGACAACUUCUAUGAACAAUGUGUGGAUACAAAUUUUUUUAGACUGUUUACAAGAUUUGAAAAACAGUGAUUGUUUAAAUAUUUUUGGUGUGUUAAAUUAAAGAGUUUGUUCCUAAAUACAGCCUAGUAAUUCAUAUCAAGACCUUUGCACAUGGUUUUACAUUAGAGUCCUGUGAUGCACAGAUAUGUAUAAAUAUCACCUAGUAUAGUAAGCUAUAAAUGUUGAGGGUGUUUAGUGAAUAAUUUUGGAUAGGUCAACUGUUAUAAAAUCUUGUUUAAUUUACAAUCAGAAAGGGACAGCUGCCACAGGGGGCCAGUGGCAAUUGCCACAAACAUUGGCAGGUGCUUUGCCAAGUGUAAGCCUAUAGCCAAAAUAUUAUUCCAGUAAUGUA